rnacentral:rRNA from 1 species
GACGAACGCUGGCGGCGUGCUUAACACAUGCAAGUCGAACGGAAAGGCCCUGCUUUUGUGGGGUGCUCGAGUGGCGAACGGGUGAGUAACACGUGAGUAACCUGCCCUUGACUUUGGGAUAACUUCAGGAAACUGGGGCUAAUACCGGAUAGGAGCUCCUGCUGCAUGGUGGGGGUUGGAAAGUUUCGGCGGUUGGGGAUGGACUCGCGGCUUAUCAGCUUGUUGGUGGGGUAGUGGCUUAUCAAGGCUUUGACGGGUAGCCGGCCUGAGAGGGUGACCGGCCACAUUGGGACUGCGAUACGGCCCAGACUCCUACGGGAGGCAGCAGUGGGGAAUAUUGCACAAUGGGCGGAAGCCUGAUGCAGCAACGCCGCGUGCGGGAUGACGGCCUUCGGGUUGUAAACCGCUUUCGCCUGUGACGAAGCGUGAGUGACGGUAAUGGGUAAAGAAGCACCGGCUAACUACGUG